GGCUCUGAGCGGUGGAUCACUCAGCUCAUGUGUCGAUGAAGAAAGCAGCUAGCUGCAAGAACUAAUGUGAAUUGCAAGAAACAUUGAUCAUUGACACUUUAAACACACUUUGUGGCCCUGGGUUACUCACGGGGCUAUGCCUGCCUGAGAGUCG